rnacentral:rRNA from 1 species
AUCCUGGCUCAGGACGAACGCUGGCGGCGUGCCUAAUACAUGCAAGUCGAGCGGACAGAUGGGAGCUUGCUCCCUGAUGUUAGCGGCGGACGGGUGAGUAACACGUGGGUAACCUGCCUGUAAGACUGGGAUAACUCCGGGAAACCGGGGCUAAUACCGGAUGCUUGUUUGAACCGCAUGGUUCAAACAUAAAAGGUGGCUUCGGCUACCACUUACAGAUGGACCCGCGGCGCAUUAGCUAGUUGGUGAGGUAACGGCUCACCAAGGCAACGAUGCGUAGCCGACCUGAGAGGGUGAUCGGCCACACUGGGACUGAGACACGGCCCAGACUCCUACGGGAGGCAGCAGUAGGGAAUCUUCCGCAAUGGACGAAAGUCUGACGGAGCAACGCCGCGUGAGUGAUGAAGGUUUUCGGAUCGUAAAGCUCUGUUGUUAGGGAAGAACAAGUACCGUUCGAAUAGGGCGGUACCUGACGGUACCAACCAGAAAGCC